AUGCUUUAAGUGAAGGGAAAUAUCCGUGUCGGGGUAAACUACGGCUUCCGGAUUCCUGGAUAGAGCAUCUCAUAGGAAAGUACCGUUAGAAAGAUCAACUCGUAAUUGAUUGAGUAUAAAUAACCUCUAGAGGGAGGUCGCGUGGAAACUAUGAUGAAACUCCUAGAAGUGGGCGUGCCUGGCAGAAGGAGUAGGUCGAAAACUGGUUGCUGAAGCAGCAUAAGCUCCCUGAUGUAAGCUCCCUGAAUAAAUUCACAGCAAUACAUCAAAGUAGUAUGAAAGUUGGCCAGUAUAAAUAAAUUCCCUGUUAACGGAAAGAGGGUUUGCAAAUCCGACGUCGUGAGACACGGACCUCAUGGGAAGAAGAAGCAACUUUAGUGUUAGAGAGAUACUGUUAAUGAGCUCUAACAUGUUCAAAUAUUUUAUUUAAG
rnacentral:ncRNA from 1 species